rnacentral:rRNA from 1 species
CCUACGGGUGGCAGCAGUGGGGAAUAUUGCACAAUGGGGGAAACCCUGAUGCAGCGACGCCGCGUGAGUGAAGAAGUAAUUCGUUACGUAAAGCUCUAUCAGCAGGGAAGAAACACUGACCUUACGGUCAGCAGACGGUACCUGACUAAGAAGCACCGGCUAACUACGUGCCAGCAGCCGCGGUAAUACGUAGGGGGCAAGCGGUAUCAGGAUUUACUGGGUGUAAAGGGGGCGUACACGGCAGCACAAGUCGGGAGUCAAAUCCCGGGGCUUAACCCCGGAACUGCUUUGGAAACUGUGGGGCUGGAGUGCAGGAGGGGUAAGCGGAAUUCCUAGUGUAGCGGUGAAAUGCGUAGAUAUUAGGAGGAACACCGGUGGCGAAGGCGGCUUACUGGACUGUAACUGACGUUGAGGCUCGAAAGCGUGGGGAGCAAACAGGAUUAGAUACCCCUGUAGGC